GGCUCGGUGGUGUAGUUGGUUAUCACGUCAGUCUAACAUUAAGCAAUUAUAUGUUAUACUCACACUGAAGGUCCCGAGUUCAAGCCUCGGCUGAGUCA